GACUCAAAUACUCAUCAACUGUAGUAUAUUUAACAUCAGGAUAAAGCUCCGAAGCCUCCACUCCGAAUGAUGGUUCAAUCUCAAUGUUUGUAUGAACACCCGUCACAAAGAUUGCGUGCAUGAUUGACAUGACCAAGUUGUGUGGGAAAGGAGAUUCUACAGGAUAAUGAACAAAUAGUUUAUAUAUAUUCAACCACCAUGGAUUAACCAAAAUGGUAUGAUAUUUUGUUGUUGUAUUCAUCCAACUUACCCUCUAUGUUUUUCAAUACUUGGUCUUCAGAUUGAUAGACCUUCUCCAAUGUUUUGCCAAUCUUUUUCUCCCACAACGACACGAGUUCAUUGAACGAGUAUAUGUUACCCGGAGGCUUUAUGUAUACACUUUUGUUGACGGUUCUUGGGUCAUCGACGGUUUUAAUGGUAUGA
rnacentral:lncRNA from 1 species